GCCAAAACGGCAAAACCCAACCAAAUAGAGGAAGAGUGAGAUCAGAGGAGUGGCGAGUGUCAGAAAAAGAGACAUUCAAAGAGAAGAGAGAGUUCGUCACCGAAACCCUAAGCUCGCCGUAGCCGUCGUCGCCGCUACCGUAGUUCAUUUACUUUUCACUAUUGUCGUAAAGCUUAUGGGAUCGAGCUCCGCUAAUGCAUCAUCUCCAGAUUUGUAGCAACGCGGAAUCCCCUGAUAUCAAAAGAAAGAGCCUUUUCCGUUAACACAUCUCAUUUGCGAACGACGCUGUUGCAUUAUCUGUCAGCAUUCUAUUGCAGGAUAGGAAGCAAUUGCGUAUUAUUGUACAGAUAGAGUGAGAAGGAGAUGAACCCUAACCAUAAUCCUCAAUCAAGCAAUGGAGGAAGCAUGAUGCGAUGCUGCACUCAUUGAGUUUCUCACUUCGUUAAUGGAUUAUACUCCUAUGAUACCUGAUGAAUUGGUGAAGCAUUACUUAGCCAAGAGUGGGUUUUCAGUCUCUCGAUCUUCGAUUAUUAUUGUCUUUUUCUUUUACAGAUUUGUUCCUUUUUUAUUGAUGUGUGAGUUUAACUUUGAUGUUUUAACAUUGUCAACUAAUCAGAGGUAGGAAUUGCCAUAUUAGAGUUGAUUAUAGAGAACAAUGGUUUAAUUUAAUAUUUGGUUAUAGGCUCAAAUUAGGAUAGUGAAUCAGAGGUAGGAUUGUCCUAUAGCUAGAGGCAGAGGUAGACCCAAGAACAAAUUCUUCCAAGACACAACAGAGGUAGCAAUAGAACAUCAGUUUAACAAGACAAAAGUCCUUCAAGAACCACCUAUUUCUUUCUCUGUAAUGCAGUCCUUCAAUAAUCCAUUCUCUGCUCUCUUGGCUGUGUUGUUCGAUGACGACGCUCCUCUUAGGAGAGUUUGCAGCACCGGUGAUCUUCAUGGGACUCAUGGCAGCAUCAUGCAUAACAAUAAUGAAGUAUGUUUCUUAAAUUAAUAAAUUGGCAGUAAGGUUUGCUUAAUAUUUAUAUUUGUGUUAUGCUUAAUAUUUUUUUGAGUAUUAUAUGUUUAGUCAUCAAUUUGGUUUGUGGAGACUCAACUUUCAAUGUUCAAAUUUGGUACUGGUCAAGUCUUGCUGAGAUUCUUAAUUCCCUUUAGUAAAAUUGCAGAAUUUUCUUAGAUCAAAGAUCUAUGAUUUUCUGCAUUCACGAGUCCUUUAGUGAUGUUGGUACUUGGAAUCAUCUAUUUGAUUUAUUUUUUUCUUUCCCUUUGCUCAUGAACUUGGGGAUGAGUAUGGAAUAAUAUUAAGGUUAGAAUGGAUAAGAGAGUGCUGCAUUUUUUAUUCUUAUUUUUUGGUUCUUUGUUACUAUUUCUGAUUUUGUCAUUGCUUUGAUGGAAAAUUCUCCAACUCUUUAUGUUAUUAUCCAAGUCAAUUCCAGAUGAUGUCUCAACUGUGUUGAUAGCAAAAUCUGAGAGAACAUGCCAUUGUUAGAGCUGGCAUAGUAUGCUUCAUGGUUGUAAAUUUUGACUCGUUUGAAGCCUUUUCAUAUUCAAUAAGUUUCUCAUGGAUAAUUAUAACAGUGGUAAUGGUAAUUAGAUAUAAAAUCAUUUAUAUGCUUCUUCUUACAAGUUAGUUUUUGGGACAAAUGGUUGGUGCAUGUGAUGAAUCAUUUCUCUCGAAAACUUCAAACUAUUGGCUGAAGUACUGAAGUAUAUGAAUAAUUUUAUAUCUAACGGUCACUUAGAGUAGCCUUGAUGAAAUAGAAGUCUGGAUUCUAGUUAAAAUUAUGUGCUGUCACGUGAUAAACAAGAUUGAACUUAUCUAGAUCUUUGGGAAAUGUCAUUUUACUAUAACAUCUUACUUUCUAAAGGCCAAACAUGCAUGUGUAUUCAUUUUAUUUAAUGUGGAAUUAUGAUUCCAUUAUUAUAGGGGAAAGGAUGUAAGUGUUGAGAACAUGCAUCAAGGUUUUACAUGUGUUUGAGUCAACUUUUGGAAUAAUUGUUAUUUGUUACAAUAUCUCAUGCUGGUCUAAUGGACUUGCCAUUAACAUCAUUUUAUUCUAUCUCUGUGUCUCCUGUUAACUUUAAUCAAUACAUUUAUUCUGAAGCAUUGUUCAUCAAGUGGGUUGUACAACAAGAGCUGACCAAGAAGGAUGCGCCGUUACAUUUGUGACUGAUAAUGACCGGUCACUUCUAAAAGCAAUUAACUUCAAUUCAUGCUUGGUUCUCUACUCUGUUGUCUUGGUAUGUUUUUUCUCUGCUGCUUGGAACUUCAAUUCAGAACUUCUCUUUACUGUUAUCUUUUUCCCCACACCACCAAAUUUUGCAGGUAUGAUUUCUUAGUUUUGUUUUUGCUGUGUUUCACCACUAGCUGCACUGUUUGUGUUGAUUCUCACAAUUUCUUUUGAAGUAGAGCUCUCCUGGCUCAAGUUACCAUGAUCUCUUCUUUAAGGGUCUGCUUUGUUGGUUGUCAUGAUCCAAUUUUCAUGGUUUUAUGAUAGCUUUGGUAGAGUUCAAUUCCUUCUGAAUCUUGGAAACAUCUAGAAAGAUAAAUGCAUUAUAAUGUUCGCUAGAUGAGACAGAAAGAGGCCACUGGCUCUCACUCAUCAAUGCACGCAGCAUAUUGGCCAUUGAGAUUUUGAAUAUUUCAUUGAACUAUUCUUAUUCUUGAAUGAAUAUGGUUAAAUUUCAAAUGGAUAAACAUUAUAUCAGUUCACUACUUUUUAGCUAUGGAAAUUUUGAAAUGGAACCUAUUUAUUAUUUGAGGCCUAAUUAUGUGAAGAGAAGAAAGCUUACAUUUAGAUUAAAUUACAUAAGCCGUUUAUCUCACAAUAUACUCCAAAAGUUGAUGUCAAUGUCUAUUUUUUAGCAAACUCUACUUUUUAAGAUGAAGUAUUUGUGCUUGUUUCAGUUGUUUGGGUGCCAUGUCUCAUGACAUUCUCCCAAGAAAUACACUAUCAUUGAAAACAAGGUGUCAUCAUUAACCAUUUUGAAUUGACAUGAUAGCAACACCAACUACCAACAUGAGGAGACUGGAAAGACAAAGGCAUAGCUACACUAUAAAACAGGGUAGCAGAGAAGGAGACUCAAAAACUCUCCCAGAGAACCACAACUAUCCUUUGCUAUAAUGUGACCAUGUUAGUUAAGUGUCAGGCCAUUGACGAGUUUCUUAAGAUUCAUAUAAUUGAGCAAUUGGGAACUUUGCUUCAUUCUCUCUGUUGUAUUAUUGUAUUGCAUCUGUGCUAGCCUCUAUUUGUUUUCUUUUGAUCAUUAACUAUGUGUUAAUCAUUGAUGUAACAUAGAUUUGUAGUAUUUGUGUUGUUUAAAUUUGUAUUAUGCUUUAUUA